rnacentral:rRNA from 1 species
GAUGAACGCUGGCGGCGUGCCUAAUACAUGCAAGUCGAGCGAACAGACGAGGAGCUUGCUCCUCUGACGUUAGCGGCGGACGGGUGAGUAACACGUGGAUAACCUACCUAUAAGACUGGGAUAACUUCGGGAAACCGGAGCUAAUACCGGAUAAUAUAUUGAACCGCAUGGUUCAAUAGUGAAAGACGGUUUUGCUGUCACAUAUAGAUGGUUACGCGCCGCAUUAGCUAGUUGGUAAGGUAACGGCUUACCAAGGCGACGAUGCGUAGCCGACCUGAGAGGGUGAUCGGCCACACUGGAACUGGGACACGGUCCAGACUCCUACGGGAGGCAGCAGUGGGGAAUCUUCCGCAAUGGGCGAAAGCCUGACGGAGCAACGCCGCGUGAGUGAUGAAGGUCUUCGGAUCGUAAAACUCUGUUAUUAGGGAAGAACAAAUGUGUAAGUAACUAUGCACGUCUUGACGGUACCUAAUCAGAAAGCCACGGCUAACUACGUG